UAAGACUCUUUACAUUUCAGUCUUUGUUUUGAUACUCAGCAUCUAUUUUGGUCAGUUCCUUUGAGUUUUCUGUGUGGAUGUUCCAGGGAAAAGUUAACCUGCAAAUGUGUGGUUUGCAAUGGAAUUUGUGGCAGGAAGAGGAUAGCGUUGGAGUUGUUGUCUAUCUGUCAGCUUGGUUUGGCACUCCCCAAGGACGAGGAGUUCUGGACAACAAUGGAACAACCGUAGAAUGCAUAUUGGCUGAAUGAAGUUAAACUCAGAAAUUCCCCCAAAACAGGGGUUUUGCCAUGCAGGAAAUUCCCCCAAAAUGCCACCGCACCGCAUCGCCGUUAUUAUGUGAACCGACUUCAUGAUUCCCUCUCAUAAGUAGUUCAUGGUGAACCCACAAGAUCGAGAUGUGCUCACAUGGCUGGCUAGGUCAAGUGUAAUUCUUCCUCACAAUUCCAUACGUAUUCUAUUUCCGUUAUUCAUUUUCAUUUUAUUUUCUAUAUGCGUAAAAGUUAGAUGUUCA